rnacentral:rRNA from 1 species
UGCUUAACACAUGCAAGUCGAACGGAAAGGCCCUGCUUUUGUGGGGUGCUCGAGUGGCGAACGGGUGAGUAACACGUGAGUAACCUGCCCUUGACUUUGGGAUAACUUCAGGAAACUGGGGCUAAUACCGGAUAGGAGCUCCUGCUGCAUGGUGGGGGUUGGAAAGUUUCGGCGGUUGGGGAUGGACUCGCGGCUUAUCAGCUUGUUGGUGGGGUAGUGGCUUACCAAGGCUUUGACGGGUAGCCGGCCUGAGAGGGUGACCGGCCACAUUGGGACUGAGAUACGGCCCAGACUCCUACGGGAGGCAGCAGUGGGGAAUAUUGCACAAUGGGCGGAAGCCUGAUGCAGCAACGCCGCGUGCGGGAUGACGGCCUUCGGGUUGUAAACCGCUUUCGCCUGUGACGAAGCGUGAGUGACGGUAAUGGGUAAAGAAGCACCGGCCAACUACGUGCCAGCAGCCGCGGUGAUACGUAGGGAGCGAGCGUUGUCCGGAUUUAUUGGGCGUAAAGGGCUCGUAGGUGGUUGAUCGCGUCGGAAGUGUAAUCUUGGGGCUUAACCCUGAGUGUGCUUUCGAUACGGGUUGACUUGAGGAAGGUAGGGGAGAAUGGAAUUCCUGGUGGAGCGGUGGAAUGCGCAGAUAUCAGGAGGAACACCAGUGGCGAAGGCGGUUCUCUGGGCCUUUCCUGACGCUGAGGAGCGAAAGCGUGGGGAGCGAACAGGCUUAGAUACCCUGGUAGUCCACGCUGUAAACGGUGGGUACUAGGUGUGGGGUCCAUUCCACGGGUUCCGUGCCGUAGCUAACGCUUUAAGUACCCCGCCUGGGGAGUACGGCCGCAAGGCUAAAACUCAAAGGAAUUGACGGGGCCCCGCACAAGCGGCGGAGCAUGCGGAUUAAUUCGAUGCAACGCGUAGAACCUUACCUGGGUUUGACAUGGAUCGGGAGCGCUCAGAGAUGGGUGUGCCUCUUUUGGGGUCGGUUCACAGGUGGUGCAUGGCUGUCGUCAGCUCGUGUCGUGAGAUGUUGGGUUAAGUCCCGCAACGAGCGCAACCCUUGUUCACUGUUGCCAGCACGUUAUGGUGGGGACUCAGUGGAGACCGCCGGGGUCAACUCGGAGGAAGGUGGGGAUGACGUCAAGUCAUCAUGCCCCUUAUGUCCAGGGCUUCACGCAUGCUACAAUGGCUGGUACAGAGAGUGGCGAGCCUGUGAGGGUGAGCGAAUCUCGGAAAGCCGGUCUCAGUUCGGAUUGGGGUCUGCAACUCGACCUCAUGAAGUCGGAGUCGCUAGUAAUCGCAGAUCAGCAACGCUGCGGUGAAUACGUUCCCGGGGCUUGUACACACCGCCCGUCAAGUCAUGAAAGUUGGUAACACCCGAAGCCGGUGGCCUAACCGUUGUGGGGGAGCCGUCGAAGGUGGGACUGGUGAUUAGGACUAAAUGG